GUUUCAUCUUAAAUAUAAUAUGAUUUUUUCUCCUGAUUUCAUUUUAGGGUUUUAUUUGUUGAAGAACUGAAGAAAUUUGAAGAUCUGAUAUGAAAUCUCAUCUUAGAAGGGUUUGAAAGAGUGAAGAAUUGAAGUUGAAGAUUUAUGGUCUGGCACCCAUUCGGCGUGUUUUGGAAGACUCGGAAAGUGAUGAGUUGACCCUUGCUUCUGACCAAGUUGUAAAAAUCUAGCUACCUGGUUCGCUGAAGUGUAUGUAGGUGCAACUCGAAAUACGUAUAUACAUCAGAGGGCAUCAGGUAAAUGACUUAUAUCUGUUGCAAAUUUUUGUGUUUCUGUGUAUAUUCGUACAUCUUUGUUCAGUUUCAAAUCUUAAUAAUUUCACCUAUCUGUAUUAGACAAUGAGACAUAGGACCUGCCACCAUUAUCACCUUCCUUACUUUGGACUGCCAUAUUCCCUAAUGAAGUGAACUUUAGAAUCUGAUAACCAGGUCAUUGUCUUGGUUGAGUCUUUACUUAAUUCUUGCCGCACUUCUAUCAUAGCAUAUCAAAAGAGAUGUAUAAGGCAGAUUAAUGCAGAAUUGAGUUGAAUGCUAAAUUAAAUACUAGAAUUACAUGGGAGCAGAAUCAAAAAAAAAAUUUAUGUAACCUAACUCUUGGACAAGUCUUUUCGACUUUUGCCAUCAGUCGUGAACUGGGAAAAUUAUGUAACCUAGUUCAAGUGUGUUGUACAAAAAUGUAUCAAAAAAAAUUACUAUUUCUUGUAAAUUUUUAUUUGUUUUUUAAGUACUGGAAAUACGUAUAUACAUCAGAGGGCAUCGAGUAAAUGACUUGUUCUUUAUUACAAAACCACUGUAAGUAUUUCUCAUUGUUCUUUUCCCCAAUUGAUAUGUUUUUGUAAUUGCAUCCCUAUGUGGUAUAACAUCUUAGUUUUGUCUGCUUUUAACAUAGGUGAUAGGUUGGUAUAUAUGCUUAUGAUUCAGAGAGUGAAAUGAUGACAGCUCUUGAGAUGAUGCACCCUAUUUCUGCAAAACCAUCCUACGGUUAAUGCACACUCUUUUAUGUCUUUCGAAUCUGUGAAGCAUGUAUCUGGAAAGAGAGAUGACAUAAUUGAUUUAUGGAUGUACCUGAACAAUGCUCC